AUGGAAGAGGCGGCGCUAAUUCGCUGCUACCCGCACCGCACCACGUCCCUAGCUUCCUCCUCUCUGAUCGAACCGAGUCCGUUUUACAAAGGGAUCCGGCGACUAGAGGGGGAGCUGCCACCGGUGAUGCUGCCGGAGAAGCUGGCGAGGUUCCUCCAGAAGUGCGCCUAA
rnacentral:rRNA from 1 species